UACGUAGGGUGCAAGCGUUGUCCGGAAUUAUUGGGCGUAAAGAGCUCGUAGGCGGUCUGUCGCGUCUGCUGUGAAAAUCCAGGGCUCAACCCUGGACCUGCAGUGGGUACGGGCAGACUAGAGUGCGGUAGGGGAGAUCGGAAUUCCUGGUGUAGCGGUGAAAUGCGCAGAUAUCAGGAGGAACACCGGUGGCGAAGGCAGGUCUCUGGGCUGACACUGACGCUCAUGCACGAAAGCGUGGGGAGCAAACAGG
rnacentral:rRNA from 1 species